UACGUAGGGGUCGAGCGUUGUCCGGAGUUACUGGGCGUAAAGCGUGUGCAGGCGGCUCAUUGCGCCCGGCGUGAAAGCCCCCGGCUCAACCGGGGAGAGUCGUCGGGGACGGGUGAGCUUGAGGGUAUCAGGGGCUGGUGGAAUUCCAGGUGUAGCGGUGAAAUGCGUAGAUAUCUGGAGGAACACCGGUGGCGAAGGCGGCAUCCUGGACCGACACUGACACUGAGGAGCGAAAGCCAGGGGAGCAAACGGG
rnacentral:rRNA from 1 species